AGCGAACGCUGGCGGCAGGCUUAACACAUGCAAGUCGAGCGGGCACUUUCGGGUGUCCGCGGCGGACGGGUGAGUAACGCGUGGGAACGUGCCCUCUGGUUCGGAAUAACUCAGGGAAACUUGAGCUAAUACCGGAUACGCCCUUUUGGGGAAAGGCUUGCUGCCGGAGGAUCGGCCCGCGUCUGAUUAGCUAGUUGGUGAGGUAACGGCUCACCAAGGCGACGAUCAGUAGCUGGUCUGAGAGGAUGAUCAGCCACACUGGGACUGAGACACGGCCCAGACUCCUACGGGAGGCAGCAGUGGGGAAUAUUGGACAAUGGGCGCAAGCCUGAUCCAGCCAUGCCGCGUGAGUGAUGAAGGUCUUAGGGUUGUAAAGCUCUUUUAUCCGGGACGAUAAUGACGGUACCGGAGGAAUAAGCCCCGGCUAACUUCGUG
rnacentral:rRNA from 1 species